UAGGGAAUCUUCCACAAUGGACGCAAGUCUGAUGGAGCAACGCCGCGUGAGUGAAGAAGGGUUUCGACUCGUAAAGCUCUGUUGGUAGUGAAGAAAGAUAGAGGUAGUAACUGGCCUUUAUUUGACGGUAAUUACUUAGAAAGUCACGGCUAACUACGUGCCAGCAGCCGCGGUAAUACGUAGGUGGCAAGCGUUGUCCGGAUUUAUUGGGCGUAAAGCGAGUGCAGGCGGUUCAAUAAGUCUGAUGUGAAAGCCUUCGGCUCAACCGGAGAAUUGCAUCAGAAACUGUUGAACUUGAGUGCAGAAGAGGAGAGUGGAACUCCAUGUGUAGCGGUGGAAUGCGUAGAUAUAUGGAAGAACACCAGUGGCGAAGGCGGCUCUCUGGUCUGCAACUGACGCUGAGGCUCGAAAGCAUGGGUAGCGAACAGG
rnacentral:rRNA from 1 species